rnacentral:rRNA from 1 species
GACGAACGCUGGCGGCGUGCCUAAUACAUGCAAGUCGAACGCACAGUUUAUACCGUAGCUUGCUACACGAUAGACUGUGAGGUGCGAAAGGGGGAGUUACCCGGAGCUAACCUGCCUGGUAACGUGAGGUAACUAUGGCUAACGAUAGCUAAUACCGCCUGAUAUUGAUUAUUGCAUGAUAAUUGACUGAAGGAGGCGAUUGACUCACUACCAGACGGACCUGCGGUGGAUUAGCUAGUAGGCGAGGUAACGGCGCACCUAGGCGACGAUACGGAGACGACCGGAGAGGGCGGUCGGCCACCCUGGGAGUGAGACCCGGCCCAGUCUCCUACGGGAGGCAGCCGUAGGGCAUCUUCGGCCAUGGGCGGAAGUCUGACCGCGCAACGCCGAGGGAGUGAAGAAGGGUUUCGGAUCGGAAAGCUCUGUUGUAAGGGAAGAACGGGUGUGAGAGUGGAACGUUCACACUGUGACGGUAUCUUAUCAGAAAGGGACGGCUAACUACGUG